GACGAACGCUGGCGGCGUGCUUAACACAUGCAAGUCGAACGGAAAGGCCCUGCUUUUGUGGGGUGCUCGAGUGGCGAACGGGUGAGUAACACGUGAGUAACCUGCCCUUGACUUUGGGAUAACUUCAGGAAACUGGGGCUAAUACCGGAUAGGAGCUCCUGCUGCAUGGUGGGGGUUGGAAAGUUUCGGCGGUUGGGGAUGGACUCGCGGCUUAUCAGCUUGUUGGUGGGGUAGUGGCUUACCAAGGCUUUGACGGGUAGCCGGCCUGAGAGGGUGACCGGCCACAUUGGGACUGAGAUAGGGCCCAGACGCGUACGGGAGGCAGCAGUGGGGAGUAUUGCGCAAUGGGCGGAAGCCUGAUGCAGCAACGCCGCGUGCGGGAUGACGGCCUUCGGGUUGUAAACCGCUGUCGCCUGUGACGAAGCGUGAGUGACGGUAAUGGGUAAAGAAGCACCGGCUAACUACGUG
rnacentral:rRNA from 1 species